CAAACGGCCCUUUUCAGGGCCACCAAAUUGAACGCAAAGCGUGUGG
rfam:Trichuris suis scaffold47.3, whole genome shotgun sequence.